rnacentral:lncRNA from 1 species
UGUCAGUCCGUCCACGAUUAUCACAUCUAUUAUUUACGUUUUUUUUUCCACCAACUGGAUUGAAUCCUCACCAUUUAGAAAAGCAAGACCUUUUCAACACUUAUGUGGAUCUGAGGACGAAACGGACAAUCAUCUUCUAACUUCUUGAUUGGUGGAGAGUAGAGUUUGGUAUUUUGUGGCAAGAUGGUGUAAUGUUGCACCUUUUAAUGUCCACAUUGUCAGGGAGUUGCUGGACCUGCAUGAUCACGUGGGUUUGUACGGGUUAUCGAAAGAAAUAUUUCACGGGAUUAUUUUGAUUGGGUGUUAGAGUAUCUGGCGGGCCAGAAACGAUGUUAAGUUCUCUAAUAAUUAAGCUCGGGUGGAAGAUAUCAUUAGUGGAAUUAAAUUAGUUGGCUUCUUAUGGUUUAAUAGUAGAUCAAAAGGUUGGUCCGUGUCUUGGACCGAGUAGUGUAAUUUUGUAAUUAUGUAAUGUUCUUCUUGGACCGAGUAGUGUAAUUUUGUAAUUAUGUAAUGUUCUUGGUUGACCGCCCCGUUUCAUGGAAUCCAUUUAA